rnacentral:rRNA from 1 species
AACGAACGCUGGCGGCAUGCCUAACACAUGCAAGUCGAACGAGAUCUUCGGGUCUAGUGGCGCACGGGUGCGUAACGCGUGGGAAUCUGCCCUUUGGUUCGGAAUAACAGUUGGAAACGACUGCUAAUACCGGAUGAUGACGAAAGUCCAAAGAUUUAUCGCCAGAGGAUGAGCCCGCGUAGGAUUAGCUAGUUGGUGUGGUAAAGGCGCACCAAGGCGACGAUCCUUAGCUGGUCUGAGAGGAUGAUCCGCCAAACUGGGACUGAGACACGGCCCAUCCUCCUACGGGAAGCAUCAGUGGGGAAUAUUGGACAAUGGGCGAAAGCCUGAGCCAGCAGUGCCGCGUGCUUGAUUAAGGCCUUAGGGUUGUAAAGCUCUUUUACCCGGGAUGAUAAUGACAGUACCGGGAGAAUAAGCUCCGGCUAAGUCCGUGCCUGCUGCCGCAGUAA